rnacentral:lncRNA from 1 species
GGGAGUGAAUCACAAUAGAUGUAAUUCUAGAGUCACAGACAGGAGAGUGGGAAAUUUAUAAAGACACCACACAAUGAAUCUGACUGGCCUGUGAUUGAAAGAAGGCAAUGUCCUGAGAGGAACGGCCUUCGAAUUUUCUGUACAACUAGAAAAGAGAAGAUCUAGGUCUUCAGGCUGGGCAGUCCAAGACCAAGGGGCCAACAGGUUUGGUGUUUGGUGAAGCUCCAGUCUUUUUAUUCAAGAUGGAACCAUAAAUGCUGCUUUUUCUUGAGAGGACAAGUGCUGUAUCCUUACACUGUAGAAGAGCAGAAAAGACCAAACUCAUUCCCUCAAGCCCUUUUAUCAGGGCACAAAUCCUAUGCCUGAGAGUUCUAACCUCAUGAUGUAAUCAUCUCCUAAAGCCUCCUCCUCUAAAUACAAUCACAUUGGGCACUAAGUUUCAACAUACAAAUUCUGAGGGACUCAAUCAGACCAGAGCAUGAGGCAACCCCAAGCUUAAUAACUCCUCUAAGUUGCUACUAAACAAAAGAAACAGAUAACAUUACUGAAGACCAGAAGCUAUAGUCACCAAGCACAAGAUGAAAGAUGAAAUCACAGCGGACCUGACUGUAAGACCUGUGAGAGGACACCAAGACAAGAAGAGAAGGGUAGAAAUUCUUGGUUUCUCUUCUUUUCCUACUCCAAUUUUUCAACAGUGCUUCCCAUUAACUAAAUUCCCCCAGCAAUCUGAAGGCAAGGGCAAAGGAGGCACAAAUCGGGGCAUGGGCAAGAAAUCAAUAAAUGGAGCCUACAUGGGCCAAGGUAUUCCCAUUUAGCCAGUGGACUUGGUUCUCCAGGAAGAAUGAUCUGAGAUAGACUCCAUUUUCUAAUGAUAGUACCAUCAUUAUUCACAGUAAUCAAGAUGUGGAAACAAUAAGUGUCCAUCAACAGAUGAAUAGAUAAAGAAAAUGUGAAUGGAAUGGAAUAUUAUUAAGCCAAGCAAGAAGGAACGUUUGCCAUUUGCAACAAUAUGGAUAAACCUGGAUAACAUUAUGCUACAUGAAACAAACUAAAUCCAAAGAGACAAAUACCGUAUAAUGUUACUUGUAUGUGGAAUCUAAAGAAGUUGAAGUCAUAGCAGUAGAAAAUAGAAUGGUGAUUUCUGGGGGCUGGUGGUUUGAAGAGAUGAGGAGAUGCUGAUAAAAGGUUACAAAUUUAAUUAUAAGAUGAACAAGUUCUGGAGAUCUAAUGUAUAGCACGGGUAGUGAUAAAUGUGUUAAUUAAAUUGAUUGUGAUAAUCAUUAUACAAUGUAUACACAUAUAAAAUUGUCACAUUGUACACCUUGAAUAUGCACAAUCUUUACUUGUCAAUUAAGUAUUUUAAAGUAUAAAAAGAAAACUGUGAAACAUUCAUAGAGAUUAUAACACAAGAAGUCUCAUGUGUACAAAUAACUAAUACCCAUUGUAAGCACCUGGCUGCAGGAAGGGAGAUAAAUAAUAUAAAAUACUAUUCAUUAGCCAAAGCCUUUUUAAAAUCUUUUCUUCUACCUCCUUCUCCUCCUUCUUCUUUUCUCAUCUCUCCCACCUCUCUCCCACCCUUACUUCUCCUCCUCCUCCUCCUUGUUCUUUCUAUUUAAAUAUUACUGUUAGAAAGAUCCUAGUAGGAAUCAGCUGAUAGCAAUUGCUCCUUUGAAAAUUCUAAGUUGUCUCUAGACCUGUAGUCUUACCCAGGUUAUUGUUAGUUCUUAAGAAUCUUUUAUGAAUUUUAACUCUUUUUUAACUUAAAAUAAAAUAAACCAUCUGAAAUUCUUGGAUUUGUUGGCAAAGGCAUUAUUGGCUUAUUUGUUAAAAUUAAAUAAUAACUGAAGCAUUCAGGUUUUAUUUUUCUUUGUAAAAUGUAUUCCCUGUGAGCAUUUCUUAAAAUUGAUAUAUGUAUUUUCUUUAGAAUUACAGAUUCUGUUUUCCUCCCAAAAUUAAUUAGAUGUUGUGAAAUACUCCUA